CAUCAUGUCUUUCAUGAGUCUGUAAUCUCAAAAGUUGCCUCGGUUUGUUAGGUACUUUCACAUCACACGUCUAAUCUGAAUUUGACCAAGUCUGUGCUAUAUGAAAAAUAUCCCACCUCAUGCAAUGGAUAUCUGUUUUGAUUUGCUUUCUUGGUGAUCAACAAAAUUUAACACGAACCUUACUUUUUUAUGCAUAGUGGAUCUGGUGCUGGUGCUUCACUACAAAGUACUGGAAUUUUGUGGCCACUGCUAAUGAUAAUAUCAUUCUUUCUACAAGCUGCUGAUACAGUAUUGAAGGAAAUAAUAUUUAUAGAUGCUGCGAAGAAUUUGAAGGGUGGCUCAGUUGAUCACUUGUCUCAGUUUGUGGUGCUAGAUGUUACUAGGGGGAUAAAUGCAGUUAUCUCUUAAGAAAAGAAGUUAAUAACUGUUGAUUAACUACCAUGCAUUAUUCAGUUUCUGAAAUUAGCACUUAAUAAAAGAAAAUGUCUUAACUUGGGUUCCUACAACUACCUUGGUUUUGCUGCAGCAGAUGAGUACUGCACUCCUCGUGUUAUCAAGUCACUCAAGAAAUAAUCUGCCAGUACUUGCAGUGCCUGAGUUGAUGGUGGUAGGCACCUCUGGCGACAGAGACCCCCAUGCCUGAAGCCUAUUCACUGUAGUCUCUCAUAAGCUCAAGUGUGAAGUGUGAAGCCGUGAAGUGUGAACCCAAGUGUGAAGCUGUGAAGUCUUACUCAGUUUAGAGUAGCAUAUUGUAGAACAUAUGUGUUGUAAAGAUUGUAAUAGAUUUAUUUAGUUGUAUAUUUGAUCAAUUUUAUGUGUUCUUAGUUC